UUUGAGUGUUAUAUGUCUACUGUAUGCGUAUACUAGAAAAUUAAUUUUGAAUCCAUUAACUUCUUUGUUUGUUUUUUUAUCUUGAUGUCGCAUUGUCUAUUCCUCAUUUCUUUAGUUUUGAAUGAGCAUAAUUUGAUUUUUUUUCAACGAUAUUGUGCCUUAAGAGUUAACUUUCUUAUUCUCGUUUUUACAUUUGAUCUUUACUCCUUUCGCUACCUUCUAUAAGCGUAAGGGUAGAAUUUUUAGGUUUCCAGAGGAAAAGAGAAGUUAUUUGGAAAUACUUGUCAGGUAGUUUCCCCCGUAUCCCCUAUUCUCCUCCAUUUCACAUUGUUCUUUAUUAUUCUCUUUUAUGUUUGAGUGUUAUUUGUUGACUGCAUGUAUGUAGUAGAGAAUUAAUUUUCAAUCCUUUGAUUUCUUUGUUUUUUUUUAGAGCUCUAUGUUGUGUUUUCUAUUACUCAUUUCUUUAGUUUCAUAUCAGAAUAAUUUGAUUUACUUUCAACGACAUUGUGGUUUUAACAUUUGAUCUCUACUCCUUUCUCUACCUUCUUUUAAGCGUAAUGGUAGAAUUUUCAGGUUUCCUGUGGUGAAGAGAAGUUUAUUGGGAAUUAGUUCUUGGAUAAGUUUCCUCCGUAUUCCAUUUUCUCUCAAAUUUUGCCCUAUUUUUCAUUUUUAUCUUGUAUGUUUAGGUUUUAUAUGUGUACUGUAUGUGUGUACUAGAAAAUUAAUUUUGAAUCCGUUAAUUUAUUUGUUUGUUUUUUAUUUUGAUGUUGCGUUUUCUAUUCCUCAUUUCUUUAGUUUUGUAUCAGCAUAAUUUGAUUUCCUUUCAAAGACAUUGUGCCUUAAGAGUUAAAUUUCUUAUUCUUGUUUUUACAUUUGAUCUCUAGUCAUUUCGCCCUUCUAUAAGCAUAAGGGUAGAAUUUUCAGGUUUCCCAACGAAAAGAGAAUUUUAUUUGGAAAUAUUUGUCAGGUAAGUUUCCUCCAUAUCCCCUAUUCUCCUCUAUUUCGCUUUGUUCGUCACUCUUCUCUUUUAUGUUUUAGUGUUAUUUGUUGACUACAUGUAUGUCGUAAAGAAUUAACUUUCAAUCCUUUGAUUUCAUUGUUUUUUUUGUGAGCUUGAUGUUGUGUUUUUUAUUACUCAUUUCUUUAGUUUCGUAUCAGAAUAAUUUUAUUUACUUUCAAGGACAUUGUGGUUUUAACAUUUGAUCUCUACUCUUUUCUCUACCUUCCUUUAAGCCCGAGGGAAUUUUUAGGUUACGCGUGAUCAAGAGAAAUUUAUUGGGAAUUAGUUAUUGGAUAAGUUUCUUCCGUAUUCCCUAUUCUCUAAAAUUUUGCAAUGUUCUUCAUUUUUAUCAUGUAUGUUUUUGUGUUAUAUGCCUACUGUAUCUGUACUAGAAAAUUAAUUUUAAAUCGGUUUAUUUCUUUGUUGGUUUUUUAAUUUGAUGUUGCAUUGUCUAUUCCUCAUUUCUUUUGUUUUGUAUUAACAUAAUGUGAUUUCCUUUCAAGGACAUUGUGGUUUUAGCAUUUGAUCUCUAUUCCUUUGUCUACCUUCCUUUAAGCGUAACGGUAGAAUUUUAGGUUUCUAGUGGUGAAGAGAAGUUUAUUGGGAAUUAGUUCUUCGAUGAGUUUCUUCCGUAUUCCCUAUUCUCUCAAAUUUUGCAUUGUUCUUCAUUUUUAUCUUGUAUGUUUGGGUGUUAUAUUUCUACUAUAUGUGUACUAGAAAAUUAAUUUUGAAUCCGUUAUUUUCUUUAUUUUUUUUUUAUCUUGAUGUUGCGUUGUCUAUUCCUCAUUGCUUUAGUUUCGUAUCAGCAUAAUUUGAUUUCCUUUCAAUGAUAUUGUGCGUUAAGAGUUAAUUUUCUUAUUCUCAUUUUUACAUUUGAUCUCUACUCAUUUCGCUACAUUCUAUAAGCGUAGGUGUAGAAUUUUCAGGUUUUCGAAGGAAAAGAGAAGUUUGUUGGGAAAUACUUGUCAGGUAAGUUUCCUCUGUAUCCCCUAUUCUUCUCCACUUGGCAUUGUUCUUUAUUCUUCUCUUUUAUGUUAAAGUGUUAUUUGUUGACCGCAUGUAUGUAGUAGAGAAUUAAUUUUCAAUCUUUUGAUUUCUUUGUUUUUUUUUAAAAGCUUGAUCUUGUGUUUUCUAUUCCUCAUUUCUUUAGUUUCUUAUCAAAAUAAUUUGAUUUACAUUCAAGGACAUUAUGGUUUUAACAUUUGAUCUCUACUCCUUUCUCUACCUUGCUUUAAGCGAAAUGGUAGAAUUUCCAAGUUUCCCGUGGUGAAGAGAAGUUUAUUAGGAAUUAGUUAUUGGAUAAGUUUCCUCUAUAUUCCCUAUUUUCUCAAAUUUUGCACCGUUCUUCAUUUUUAUCUUGUAUAUUUUCGUGUUAUAUGUCUACUGUAUGUGUGUACUAGAAAAUAAAUUUUCAAUCCGUUAAUUUCUUUAUUUUUAUUUUUUAUCUUGAUGUUGCGUUGACUAUUCCUCAUUUCUUUAGUUUCGUAUCAUCAUAAUUUGAUUUCUUUUUAAUGAUAUUGUCCCUUAAGAGUUAAUUUUCUCAUUCUUGUUUUUACAUUUGAUAUCUAGUCCUUUCGCUACCUUCUAUAAGAGUAAGAGUGGAAUUUUCAGGUUUUCAUGGAAAAAGAGAAGUUCAUUGGGAAAUACUUGUCAGGUAAGAUUCCUCUGUAUCCCCUAUUCUCCUCCAUUUCGCAUUGUUCUUUAUUCUUCUCUUGUAUGUUUGAGUAUUAUUUGUUGACCGCAUGUAUGUAGUAGAAAAUUAAUUUUCAAUUUUUUUAUUUCUUUGUUUUUUUUAAGAGCUAGAUGUUGUGUUUUCUAUUCCUCAUUUCUUUAGUUUCGUAUCAGAAUAAUUUGAUUUAAUUUGAAGGACAUUGUGGUUUUAAUAUUUGAUCUCUACUCCUUUCUCUACCUUGCUUUAAGCGUAAGGGUAGAAUUUUCAGGUUUCCCAUGGUGAAGAGAAGUUUAUUGGGAAUUAGUUCUUGGAUAAGAUUCCUCUGUAUUCCCUAUUCUCUCAAAUUUUGCACUUUUCUUCAUUCUUAUCUUGUAAGUUUUCGUGUUAUAUGUCUACUGUAUGUGUGUACUAGAAACUUAAUUUUGAAUCCGUUAAUUUCUUUGUUUUUUUUUUUAUCUCGAUGUUGCGUUAUCUAUUCCUCAUUUCUUUAAUUUCGUAUUAGCAUAAUUUGAUUUCCUUAUAACAAUAUCAUGCCUUAAGAGUUAAUUUUCUUAUUCUCAUUUUUACAUUUGAUCUCUACUCUUUCGCUACCUUCUAUAAGCGUAAGGGUGGAAUUUUCAGGUUUCCGAGAGAAAAGAGAACUUUAUUGGGAAAUACUUGUCAGGUAAGUUUCCUCGGUAUCCCCUAUUCUCCUCCACUUCGCAUUGUUCUUUAUUCUUCUCUUUUAUGUUUGAGUGUUAUUUGUUGACCGCAUGUAUGCAGUAGAGAAUUAAUUUUCAAUCCUUUGAUUUCUCUGUUUUUUUUUUUAAAAGCUUGAUGUUGUGUUUUCUAUUCCUCAUUUCUUUAGUUUCUUAUCAGAAUAAUUUGAUUUAAUUUGAAGGACAUUGCGGGAAUUAGUUAUCGGAUAAUUUUCCUACGUAUUCCCUAUUCUCUCACAUUUUAUACUGUUCUUCAUUCUUAUAUUUGUAUGUUUGGGUGUUAUGUGUACUGUAUGUGUGUACUAGAAAAUUAAUUUUGAAUCCCUUAAUUUUUUUGUAAGUUUUUUAUGUUGAUGUUGUGUUGUCGAUUCUCCUCCAUUUCGCAUUGUUUUUCAUUGUUCUCUUUUAUGUUUGAGUGUUAUUUGUUGACCGCUUGUAUGUAGUAGAGAAUUAAUUUUCAAUCCAUUGAUUUCUUUGUUUUUUUUAGAAGCUUGUUCUUGUGUUUUCUAUUUCUCAUUUCUUUAGUUUCGUAUCAGAAUAAUUUGAUUUACUUUCAAGAAUAUUGUGGUUUUAACAUUUGAUCUUUACUUCUUUCUCUACCCUGCUAUAAGCGUAAGGGUAGAAUUUUCAGGUCUCCCGUCGUCAAGACAAGUUUAUUGGGAAUUAGUUCUUGGAUAAGUUUCCUCCGUAUUCCCUACUCUCUCAAAUUUUGCACUUUUCUUCAUUCUUAUCUUGUAUGUUUUGGUGUUAUAUGUCUACUGUAUGUGUAUACGAGAAAAUUAAUUCUGAAUCCGUUAAUUUCUUUGUUUGUUUUUUUAUCUUGAUGUUGCGUUGUCGAUUCCUCUUUUCUUUAAUUUCGCGUCAGCAUAAUUGGAGUUCAUUUCAACGAUAUUGUGCCUUGAGAGUUAAUUUUCUUAUUCUCGUUUUUACAUAUGAUCUCUACUCCUUUCACUACCUUCUAUAAACAUAAGGGUAGAAUUUUGAAGUUUCCCGAGAAAAAAAAAAGUUUGUAGGGAAAUACUUGUCAGGUUAGUUUCCUUUGUAUCUCCUAUUUUCCUUAAUUUCUUAUUGUUCUUCAUUCUUCUCUUUUAUAUUUCAGUGUUAUUUGUUGACCGCAUGUAUGUAGUAGAGAAUUAAUUUUCAAUUAUUUGACUUCUUUGUUUUUUUGUUAAAGCUUGAUGUUAUGUUUUCUAUUCCUCAUUUUUGUAGUUUCGUAUCAGAAUAAUUUGAUUUACUUUGAAGGACAUUGUGGUUUUAACAUUUCAUGUCUACUUUUUCUCUACCUUGCUUUAAGCGUAAGGGUAGAAUUUUCAGGUUUCUCGUGGUGAAGAGAAGUUUAUUGGGAAUUAGUUAUUGGAUAAUUUUCCUGCGUAUUCCCUAUUCUCUCAAAUUUUAUAAUGUUCUUCAUUCUUAUCUUUGUAUGUUUGAGUGUUAUGUGUACUGUAUGUGUGUACUAGAAAAUUAAUUUUGAAUCCGUUAAUUUCUUAGUUUGUUUUCUAUCUUGAUAUUGCGUUGUCUAUUCCUCAUUUCUUUAAUUUCGUAUCAGCAUAAUUUGAUUUCCUUUCAAUGAUAUUGUGCCGUAAGAGUUAAUUUUCUUAUUCUCGUUUUUACAUUUGAUCUCCACUCCUUUCGCUACUUUCUAUAAGCGUAAGGAUAGAAUUUUCAGGUUUCCCGAGGAAAAGAGAAGUUUAUGGGGAAAUACUUGUCCAGUUAGUUUCCUCUGUAUCCCCUAUUUUCCUCUAUUUCGCAUUGUUCUUCAUUUUUUUUUUUUUUUUAUGUUUUAGUGUUAUUUGUUGACUGCAAGUAUGUAGUAGAGAAUUAUUUGUCAAUCCUUUGAUUUUUUUUUUUCUUAAAGCUUGAUGUUGUGUUUUCUAUUUCUCAUUUUUUUAAUUUCGUAUCAAAAUAAUUUGAUUUACUUUGAAGGACAUUGUGGUUUUAACAUUUAAUCUCUUCUCCUUUCUCUACCUUGCUUUAAGCGUAAGGGUAGAAUUUUCAGGUUUCUCUUGGUGAAGAGAAGAUUAUUGGGAAUUAGUUAUUGGAUAAGUUUCCUCUGUAUUCCCUAUUCUCUCAAAUUUUGCACUGUUGUUCAUUUUUCUUUUUUAUGUUUUCGUGUUAUAUGUCUACUCUAUGUGUGUACUAGAAAAUUAAUUUGUAAUCCGUUAAUUUCUUUGUUUGCAUUUGAUCUUGAUGUUGCGUUGUCUAUUCCUCGUUUCUUUAAUUUUGUAUCAGCAUAAUUUGAGUUCCUUUCAACAAUAUUGUGCCUUGAGAGUUAAUUUUCUUAUUCUUGUUUUUACAUAUGAGCUCUACUCCUUUUGCUACCUUCUAUAAGCGUAAGGGUAGAAUUUUCAAGUUUCCUGAGGAAAAGAGAAGUUUAUCGAGAAAUACUUGUUAGGUAAGUUUCCUCCGUAUCCCCUAUUCUCCUCCAUUUCGCAUUGUUCUUCAUUCUUCUAUUUUAUGUUUGAGUGUUAUUUGUUGACCGCAUGUAUGUAGUAGAGAAUUAAUUUUCAAUUAUUUGAUUUCUUUGGUUUUUUUUUAAAGCUUGAUGUUGUGUUUUCUAUUCCUCAUUUUUUUAGUUUCGUAUCAGAAUAAUUUGAUUUACUUCGAAGGACAUUGUGGUUUUAAUAUUUGAUCUCUACUCAUUUCUCUACCUUGUUUUAAAUGUAAGGGUAGAAUUUUCAGGUUUCUCGUGGUGAAGAGAAGUUUAUUGGGAAUUAGUUAUUGGAUAAUUUUCCUGCGUAUUCCCUAUUCUCUCAAAUUUUAUAAUGUUCUUCAUUCUUAUCUUUGUAUGUUUGGGUGUUAUGUAUACUGUAUGUGUGUAGUAGAAAAUUAAUUUUGAAUCCGUUAAUUUUUUUAUUUGUUUUUUAUCUUGAUGUUGUGUUGUCUAUUCCUCAUUUCUUUAAUUUCAUAUCAGCAUAAUUGGAUUUCCUUUAACCAAUAUUGUGACUUAAGAGUUAAUUUUUUUAUUCUAGUUUUUACAUUUGAUCUCUACUCCUUUCACUACCUUCUAUAAGCAUAAAGGUAGAAUUUUCUAGUUUCCUAAGGAAAAGAGAAGUUUAUUGGGAAAUACUUGAGAAGUAAGUUUCUUCCGUAUCCCCUAUUCUUUUCCAUUUCGCAUUGUUCCUCAUUCUUCUCUUUUUAUGUUUGAGUGUUAUUUGUUGAACACAUGUAUGUAGUAGAGAAUUUAUUUUCAAUCCUUUGAUUUCUUUGUUUUUUUUUAUAAGCUUGAUGUUGUGUUUUCUUUUCCUCAUAUCUUUAGUUUCGUAUAAGAAUAAUUUGAUUUACUUUUAAGGACAUUCUGGUUUUAACAUUUGAUCUCUACUCUUUUCGCUACCUUGCUUUAAGCGAAAUGGUAGAAUUUCCAGGUUUUUCGUGGUGAAGAGAAGUUUAUUGGGAAUUAGUUAUUGCAUAAGUUUCCUCUGUAUUCCCUAUUUUCUCCAAUUUUGCACUGUUAUUUAUUUUUAUCUUGUAUAUUUUCGUGUUAUAUGUCUAUUGUAUGUGUGUACUACAAAAUUAAUUUUGAAUCCAUUAAUUUCUUUAUUUUUGUUUUUUAUCUUGAUGUUGAGUUGUCUAUUCCUCAUUUCUUUAGUUUCGUAUCAGCAGAAUUUGAUUUCCUUUCAACGAUAUUGAGCCUUAAGAGUUAAUUUUCUUAUUCUUGUUUCUACAUUUGAUCUCUACUCCUUUCGCUACAUUCUAUAAGCAUAAGGGUAGAAUUUUUAGGUUUCCCGAGGAAAAGAGAAGUUUAUUGGGAAAUACUUGAGAAGUAAGUUUCCUCCGUAUCCCCUAUUCUUUUCCAUUUCGCAUUGUUCCUCAUUCUUCUCUUUUAUGUUUUAGUGUUAUUUGUUGACUGCAAGUAUGUAGUAGAGAAUUAUUUGUCAAUCCUUUGAUUUUUUUUUUUUUCUUAAAGCUUGAUGUUGUGUUUUCUAUUUCUCAUUUUUUUAAUUUCGUAUCAAAAUAAUUUGAUUUACUUUAAAGGACAUUGUGGUUUAAUAUUUAAUCCUUCUCCUUUCUCUACCUUGCUUUAAGCGUAAAGGUAGAAUUUUCAAGUUUCCCUUGGUGAAGAGAAGUUUAUUGGGAAUUAGUUAUUAGAUAAGUUUCCUCUGUAUUCCCUAUUUUCUUCAAUUUUGCACUGUUAUUUAUUUUUAUCUUGUAUAUUUUCGUGUUAUAUGUCUACUGUAUGUGUGUAAUAGAAAAUUAAUUUUGAAUCCGUUAAUUUCUUUAUUUUUGUUUUUUAUCUUGAUGUUGUGUUGUCUAUUCCUCAUUUCUUCAGUUUCGUAUCAGCAGAAUUUGAUUUCCUUUCAACAAUAUUGAGCCUUAAGAGUUAAUUUUCUUAUUCUUGUUUCUACAUUUGAUCUCUACUCCUUUCGCUACAUUCUAAUUCCCUAUUCUCUCAAAUUUUGCACUGUUUUUCAUUUUUAGCUUUUAUGUUUUCGUGUUAUACGUCUACUGUAUGUGUGUACUAGAAAAUUAAUUUUGAAUCCGCUAAUUUCUUUGUUUGCUUUUUAUCUUGAUGUUGCGUUGUCUAUUCCUUAUUUCUUUAGUUUCGUAUUAGUAGAAUUUGAUUUUUUUUCAACGAUAUUGUGCCUUAAGAGUUAAUUUUCUUAUUCUCGUUUCUACAUUUGAUCUCUACUCCUUUUGCUUCUAUAAGCGUAAGGGUAGAAUUUUAUGGUUCCUGGAGGAAAAGAGAAGUUUAUCGGGAAAUACUUGUAAGGUAAGUUUCCUCUGUAUCCCCUAUUCUCCUCCAUUUCACAUUGUUCUUCAUUCUUCUCUUUUAUGUUUGAGUGUUAUUUGUGUACCGCAUGUGUGUAGUAGAGAAAUAAUUUUCAAUCCUUUGAUUUCUUUGUUUUUUUUUAAAGCUUGAUAUUGUGUUUUCUAUUCCUCAUUUCUUUAGUUUCGUAUCAGAAUAAUUUGAUUUACUUUUAAGGACAUUAUGGUUUUAACAUUUGAUAUCCACUCCUUUUCUAUCCUGCUUUAAGCGUAAGGGCAGAAUUUCCUGGUUUCCUAUGGUGAAGAGAAGUUUAUUGGGAAUCAGUUCUUGGAUAAGUUUCCACCGUAUUCCAUUUUCUCUCAAAUUUUGCGUUGUUCUUCAUAUUUAUCUUUUAUGUUUUCGUGUUAUACGUCUACUGUAUGUGUGUAUUAGAAAAUUAAUUUUGAAUCCGUUAAUUUCUUUGUUUGUUGUUUAUCUUGAUGUUGCGUUGUCUAUUCCUUAUUUCUUUAGUUUCGUAUCAGCAGAAUUUGAUUUCUUUUCAACGAUAUUGUGCCUUAAGAGUUAAUUUUCUUAUUCUCGUUUCUACAUUUGAUCUCUACUCCUUUUGCUACCUUCUAUAAGCGUAAGGGUAGAAUUUUAAGGUUCCUGGAGGAAAAGAGAAGUUUAUCGGGAAAUACUUGUAAGGUAAGUUUCCUCUGUAUCCCCUAUUCUCCUCCAUUUCGCAUUGUUCUUCAUUCUUCUCUUUUAUGUUUGAGUGUUAUUUGUUGACCGCAUGUGUGUAGUAGAGAAAUAAUUUUCAAUCCUUUGAUUUCUUUGUUUUUUUUUAAGAGCUUGAUGUUGUGUUUUCUAUUCCUCAUUUCUUCAGUUUCGUAUUAGAAUAAUUUGAUUUACUUUCAAGGACAUUGUGGUUUUAACAUUUGAUAUCUACUCCUUUCUCUACCUUGCUUUAAGCGUAAGGGUAGAAUUUUAAGGUUUCCCGUGGUGAAAAGAAGUUUAUUGGUAAUUGGUUCUUGGAUAAGUUUCCUCCGUAUUCCCUAUUCUCUCAAAUUUUGCACUGUUUUUCAUUUUUAUCUUUUAUGUUUUCGUGUUAUACGUCUACUGUAUGUGUGUACUAGAAAAUUAAUUUUGAAUUCGUUAAUUUCUUUGUUUGUUUUUUAUCUUGAUGUUGCGUUCUCUAUUCCUCAUUUCUUUAGUUUAGUAUCAGCAAAAUUUGAUUUCCUUUAACCGAUAUUGUGCAUUAAGAGUUAAUUUUCUUAUUCUCGUUUAUACAUUUGAUCUCUACUCCUUUCGCUACAUUCUAUAAGUGUAAGGGUAGAAUUUUCAAGUUUCCCGAGGAAAAGAGAAUUUUGUUUGCAAAUACUUGUUAAGUAAGUUUUCUCCGUAUCCCCUAUUCUCCUCCAUUUCGCAUUGUUCUUUAUUCUUCUCUUUUAUAUUUGAGUGUUAUUUGUUGACUGCCUGUAUGUAGUACAGAAUGAAUUUUCAAUCCUUUGAUUUCAUUGCUUUUUUUUAGAGCUCUAUGUUGUGUUUUCUAUUCCUCAUUUCUUUAGUUUCUUAUCAAAAAAAUUUUAUUUACUUUCAAGUACAUUGUGGUUUUAAAAUUUGAUAUCUACUCCUUUCUCUACCCUACUAUAAGCGUAAGGGUAGAAUUUUCAGGUCUCCCGUCGUCAAGACAAGUUUAUUGGGAAUUAGUUCUUGGAUAAGUUUCCUCCGUAUUCCAUUUUCUCUCAAAUUUUGCGUUGUUCUUUAUAUUUAUCUUUUAUGUUUUCGUAUUAUACGUCUACUGUAUGUGUGUACUAGAAAAUUAAUUUUGAAUCCGUUAAUUUCUUUGUUUGUUUUUUAUCUUGAUGUUGCAUUGUCUAUUCCUCAUUUCUUUAAUUUUGUAUCAGCAUAAUUUGAUUUCCUUUCAACGAUAUUGUGCCCUAAGAGUUAAUUUUCUUAUUCUCGUUUCUACAUUUGAUAUCUACUCCUUUCUCUAUCUUCUAUAAGCGUAAGGGUAGAAUUUUCAGGUCUCUCGAGGAAAAGAUAAGUUUAUUGGGAAAUACUUGUAAGGUAAGUUUCCUCUGUAUCCCCUAUUCUCCUCCAUUUCACAUUGUUCUUCAUUCUUUUCUUUUAUGUUUGAGUGUUAUUUGUGUACCGCAUGUGUGUAGUAGAGAAAUAAUUUUCAAUCCUUUGAUUUCUUUGUUUUUUUUUAAAGCUUGAUAUUGUGUUUUCUAUUCCUCAUUUCUUUAGUUUCGUAUCAGAAUAAUUUGAUUUACUUUCAAGGACAUUGUGGUUUUAACAUUUGAUAUCUACUCCUUUCUCUACCUUGCUUUAAGCGUAAGGGUAGAAUUUUAAGGUUUCCUGUGGUGAAAAGAAGUUUAUUGGGAAUUCGUUCUUAGAUAAGUUUCCUCCAUAUUCCCUAUUCUCUCAAAUUUUGCACUGUUUUUCAUUUUUAUCUUUUAUGUUUUUGUGUUAUACGUCUACUGUAUGUGUGUACUAGAAAAUUAAUUUUGAAUCCAUUAAUUUCGUUGUUUGUAUUUGAUCUUGAUGUUGCAUUGUCUAUUCCUCAUUUCUUUAAUUUCGUAUCAGCAUAAUUUGAGUUCCUUUCAACAAUAUUGUGCCUUGAGAGUUAAUUUUCUUAUUCACUCCUUUCGCUACCUUCUAUAAGCGUAAGGGUAGAAUUUUCAAAUUUCCUGAGGAAAAGAGAAGUUUAUCGAGAAAUACUUGUCAGGUAAGUUUCCUUCGUAUCCCCUAUUCUCGUCCAUUUCGCAUUAUUCUUCAUUCUUCUCUUUUAUAUUUGAGUGUUAUUUGUUAACUGCCUAUAUGUAGUACAGAAUGAAUUUUCAAUCCUUUGAUUUCAUUGCUUUUUUUUAGAGCUCUAUGUUGUGUUUUCUAUUAUUCAUUUCUUUAGUUUCGUAUCAAAAUAAUUUUAUUUACUCUCAAGGACAUUAUGGUUUUAACAAUUGAUAUCUUCUCCUUUCUCUACCUGUAUUUAAGCAUAAGGGUAGAAUUUUCAAGUUUCCCAUGGUCAAGAGAAGUUUAUUGGGAAUUAGUUCUUCGGUAAGUUUCCUCCAUAUUCUCUAUUCUCUCAAAUUUUGCAUUGUUCUUCAUAUUUAUCUUUUCGUGUUAUAUGUUUACUGUAUGUGUGUACUAGAUAAUUAAUUUUAUAUCCGUUAAUUUCUUUGUUAGUUUUUUAUCUUGAUGUUGCAUUGUCUAUUCUUCAUUUCUUUAGUUUCGUAUCCGUAUAAUUUUAUUUCCUUUCUACAAUAUUGUGCCAUAAGAGUUAAUUUUCUUAAUCUCGUUUUUACAUUUGAUCUGUACUCCUUUUGCUACCCUUCUAUAAGCGUAAGGGUAUAACUUUCAGGUUUCCCUAGGAAAAUAGAAGUUUAUUUGGAAAUACUUGUCAUGUAAGUUUCCUCUGCAUCCCUUAUUCUUCUCCAUUUAGUAUUGUUGUUCAUUCUUCUCUUUUAUGUUUAAGUGCUAUUUGUUGACCGCAUGUAUGUAGUAGAGAAUUAAUUUUCAAUCCUUUCAUUUCUUUGUUUUUUGUAAGAGCUUGAUGUUGUGUUUUCUAUUCCUCAUUUCUUUAGUUUUGUAUCAUAAUAAUUUGAUUUACUUUCAAGGACAUUGUGGUUUUCACAUUUGAUCUAUACACCUUUCUCUACCUUUCUUUAAGCAUAAAGGUAGAAUUUUCAGGUUUCCCGUGGUAAAGAGAAGUUUAUUGCGAAUUAGUUCUUGGAUAAGUUUNNNNNNNNNNNNNNNNNNNNNNNNNNNNNNNNNNNNNNNNNNNNNNNNNNNNNNNNNNNNNNNNNNNNNNNNNNNNNNNNNNNNNNNNNNNNNNNNNNNNAAAUGUUAGAACCACAAUGUCNCUUGAGAGUAAAUAAAAUUAUUCGGAUACGAAACUAAAGAUAUGAGCAAUAGAAAACACAACAUCAAGCCUUAAAAAAAAAAAACAAAGAAAUCAAAGGAUUGAAAAUUAAUUCUCUACUACAUACAUGAGGUCAACAAAUAACACUCAAACAUAAAAGACAAGAAUAAAGAACAAUGCGAAAUGGAAGAGAAUAGGGGAUACGAAGGAAACUUACCUGACAAGGAUUUCCAAAUAAGCUUCUCUUCUCCUCGGGACACUUGAAAAUUCUACCCUUACGCUUAUAGAAAGUAGAGAAAAGAGUAGAGAUCAAAUGUAAAAACGAGAGUAAGAAAAUUAACUCUCAAGAGACAAUAUCGUUGAAAUGAAAUUAAAUUAUGCUGAUACGAAACUAAAAAAAUGAGGAAUAGAUAACGCAACAUCAAGAUAAAAAAAAAAACAAAGAAAUUAACGGAUUCAAAAAUAAUUUUCUAAUACACACAUACAAUAGACGUAUAACACAAAACCAUAAAAGAUAACAAUGAAAAACAAUGCAAAAUGUGAGAGAAUAAGGAAUACGGAGGAAACUUAUCCAAUAACCAAUUCCCAAUAAACUUUUGUUCACCACGGGAAACCUUAAAAUUCUACCUUUACGCUUAAAGCAAGGUAGAGAAAGGAGUAGAUAUCAAAUGUUAAAACCACAAUGUCCUUGAAAGUAAAUCAAAUUAUUCUGAUACGAAACUAAAGAAAUGAGGAAUAGAAAACACAAGAUCAAGCUUUAAAAAAAAAAACAAAGAAAUCAAAGAAUUGAAAAUUAAUUUUCUGCUACACACAUGCGGUCAACAAAUAACACUCAAACAUAAAAGACAAGAAUCAAGAACAAUGCGAAGUGGAAGAGAAUAGUGGAUACGAAGGAAACUUACCUGACAAGGAUAUCCAAAUAAGCUUCUCUUCUCCUCGGGACACUUGAAAAUUCUACCCCUACGCUUAUAGAAAGUAGAGAAAAGAGUAGAGAUCAAAUGUAAAAACGAGAGUAAGAAAAUUAACUCUCAAGAGACAAUAUCGUUGAAAUUAAAUUAAAUUAUGUUGAUACGAAACUAAAAAAAUGAGGAAUAGAUAACGCAACAUCAAGAUAAAAAAAAAAAACAAAGAAAUUAACGGAUUCAAAAAUAAUUUUCUAAUACACACAUACAGUAGACGUAUAACACAAAACUAUAAAAGGUAACAAUGAAAAACAAUGCAAAAUGUGAGAGAAUAGGGAAUACGGAGGAAACUUAUCCAAUAACCAAUUCCCAAUAAACUUUUGUUCACCACGGGAAACCUUAAAAUUCUACCCUUACGCUUAAAGCAAGGUAGAGAAAUGAGUAGAUAUCAAAUGUUAAAACCACAAUGUCCUUGAAAGUAAAUCAAAUUAUUCUGAUACGAAACUAAAGAAAUGAGGAAUAGAAAACACAAGAUCAAGCUUUGAAAAAAAAAACAAAGAAAUCAAAGGAUUGAAAAUUAAUUUUCUGCUACACACAUGCGGUCAACAAAUAACACUCAAACAUAAAAGAGAAGAAUGAAAAAUAAUGCGAAAUGGAGGAAAAUAGGGGAUAAGGAGGAAACUUACCUGACAAGUAUUUCCCCAUAAACAUCUUUUUUCCUCGAGAAACCUAAAAAUUCUACCCUUACGCUUAUAGAAGGUAGCGAAAGGAGUAGAGAUCAAAUGUAAAAAUGAGAAUAAGAAAAUUAACUCUUAAGGCUCAAUAUUGUUAAAAGGAAAUCAAAUUCUGCUGACACGAAACUAAAGAAAUGAGGAAUAGACAACGCAACAUCAAGAUAAAAAACAAACAAAGAAAUUAAUGGAUUCAAAAUUAAUUUUCUAGAACACACGUAUAGUAGACAUAUAACACGAAAACAUAAAAGAUAAAUAAGAAGAACAACGCAAAAUUUGAGAGAAUAGGGAAUAUGGAGAAAACUUAUUGAAGAACUAAUUCCCAAUAAACUUCUCUUGACCAGGGGAAACCUGAAAAUUCUACCCUUACGCUUAAAGCAAGGUAGAGAAAGGAGUAGAGAUCAAAUUUUAAAACCACAAUGUACUUGAAAGUAAAUAAAAUUAUUUUGAUAAGAAACUAAAGAAAUGAGAAAUAGAAAACACAACAUAGAGCAAUAAAAAAAAACAAUGAAAUCAAAGGAUUGAAAAUUCAUUAUCCACUAGAUACACGCAGUGAACAAAUAACACUCAAACAUAAAAAAAAAAAGAAUGAAGAACAAUGCGAAAUGGUGGAGAAUAGGGGAUACAGAGAAAACUUACCUGACAAAUAUUUCCAAACAAACCACUCUUUUCCUCGGGAAACCUAAAAAAUUCUACACUUAUGCUUAUAGAAUGUAGCGAAAUGAGUAGAUAUCAAAAGUAAAAACGAGAAUAAGAAAAUUAAUUCUUAAGGCGCAAUAUCGUUGAAAGGAAAUCAAAUUAUGCAAAUACAAAACUAAAGAAAUGAGGAAUAGACAACGCAAGAUCAAGAUAAAAAACAACCAAAGAAAUUAACGGAUUCAAAAUUAAUUUUCUAGUACACAGAUACAGUAGACAUAUAACAUGAAAACAUACAAGAUAAAUAUGAAGAACAUUGCAAAAUUUGAGAGAAUAGGGAAUACGGAGGAAACUUAUCCAAGAACUAAUUCUCAAUAAACUUUCCUUCACAACGGGAAACCUGAAAAUUCUACCCUUUCGCUUAAAGCAAGGUACAGAAAGGAUUAGAGAUCAAAUGUUAAAACCACAAUGUCCUUGAAAGUAAAUAAAAUUAUUUUGAUAAGAAACUAAAGAAAUGAGCAAUAGAAAACACAACAUAGAGCUCUAAAAAAAACAAUGAAAUCAAAGGAUUGAAAAUUCAUUCUCUACUACAUACACGUAGUCAACAAAUAACACUCAAACAAAAUAGAGACGAAUGAAGAACAAUGCGAAAUGGAGGAGAAUAGGUGAUACAAACAAACUACUCUUUUCCUCGGGAAACCUGAAAAUUCUACUUUCACGCUUACCUGACAAGUAUGUGUGUACUAGAAAAUUAAUUUUGAAUCCGUUAAUUUCUUUGUUUGUUUUUUAUCUUGACCUUGCAUUGUUUAUUCCUCAUUUCUUUAGUUUUGUAUCUACAUAAUUUGAUUUGCUUUCAACGAUAUUGUGCCUUAAGAGUUCAUUUUCUUAUUCUCGUUUUUACUUUUGAUCUGUACUCCUUUCGCUACAUUCGAUAAGCGUAAGGGUAAAAUUUUCAGGUUUCUCGAGGAAAAGAGAAGUUUGUUUGGAAAUACUUGUCAGGUAAGUUUUCUCUGUAUCCCCUAUUCUCCUCCAUUUCGCAUUGUUCUUCAUUCUUCUCUUUUAUGUUUAAGUGUUAUUUGUUGAAUUCGUGUAUGUAGUAGAGAAUGAAUUUUUAACCUUUUGAUUUCAUUGGGUUUUUUUUUUAUAGCUCUAUGUUGUGUUUUCUAUUACUCAUUUCUUGACUUCCUUAUCAAAGUAAUUUUAUUUACUUUCAAGUACAUUGUGCUUUGAAAAUUUGAUCUCUACUCCUUUCUCUACCUUGCUUUAAGCGUAAGCGUAGAAUUUUUCAGGCUUCCCGUGGUCAAGAGAGUUUUAAUGGGAAUUAAUUAUUCAAUAAGUUUCCUCCAUAUUCCCUAUUCUCUCAAAUUUUGCACUGUUCUUCAUAUUAAUCUUUUAUGUUUUCGGGUUAUAUGCCUACUGUAUGUGUGUACUAGAAAAUUAAUUUUGAAUCCACUUAUUUCUUUGCUUGUUUUUUAUCUUGAUGUUGCGUUGUCUAUUCCUCAUUUCUUUAGUUUUGUAGCUGCAUAAUUUGAUUUGCUUUCAACGAUAUUGUGCCUUAAGAGUUCAUUUUCUUAUUCUCGUUUUUACAUUUGCCAGGUAAGUUUUCUUUGUAUCCCCUAUUCUCGUUCAUUUCGCAUUGUUCUUCAUUCUUCUCUAUUAUGUUUUAGUGUUAUUUUUUUAAAUUCGUGUAUGUAGCAGAGAAUGAAUUUUCAAUCUUUUGAUUUCAUUGUUUUUUUUUAUAGCUCUAUGUUGUGUUUUCUAUUACUCAUUUCUUUACUUUUUUAUCAAAAUAAUUUUAUUUUCUUUGAAGUACAUUGUGGUUUUACAAUUUGAUUUCUACUCCUUUCUCUACCUUGCUUUAAGAGUAAGGGUAGAAUUUUCAAGUUUCCCGUGGUCAAGAGAAGUUUAUUAGGAAUUAGCUAUUCAAUAAGUUUCCUCUAUAUUCCCUAUUCCCUCAAAUUUUGCACGGUUCUUCGUAUUUAUCUUUUAUGUUUUCAUGUUAUAUGCCUACUGUAUGUGUGUAUUAGUAAAUUAAUUUUCAAUCCGUUAAUUUCUUUGCUUGUUUUUUUAUCUUGAUGUUGCGUUGUCCAUUCCUCAUUUCCUUAGUUUCGUAUAUGCAUAAUUUGAUUUCCUUUCAACGAUAUUGUGCCUUAAGUUUUAUAUUUCUUAGUCUCGUUUUUACAUUUGAUUUCUACUCCUUUCGCUACCUUUUAUAAGCGUAAGAGCAAAAUUUUCAGGUUUCCCAAGGAAAAGAGAAGCUUAUUUGGAAAUACUAGUCAUGUAAGUUUCCUCCGUAUCCCUUAUUCUCUUCUAUUUCGCAUUGUUCUUUAUUCUUCUCUUUUAUGUUUGAGUGUUAUUUGUUGACCGCAUGUAUGUAGUAGAGAAUUAAUUUUCAAUCCUUUGAUUUCUUUGUUUGUUUUUAAAAGCUUGAUGUUUUGUUUUCUAUUGCUCAUAUCUUUAGUUUCGUAUUCGAAUAAUUUUAUUUACUCUCAAGGACAUUGUGGUUUUAACAUUUGAUCUCUUCUCCUUUCUCUACCUUGCUUUAAGCAUAAGGGUAGAAUUUUCAAGCUUCCCGUGGUCAAGAGAAGUUUAUUGGGAAUUAGUUAUUCGAUAAGUUUCCUCCAUAUUCCCUAUUCUCUCAAAUUUUGCACUGUUCUUCAUAUUAAUCUUUUAUGUUUUCAUGUUAUAUGCCUACUGUAUGUGUGUAUUAGAAAAUUAAUUUUCAAUCCGUUAAUUUCUUUGCUUGUUUUUUUAUCUUGAUGUUGCGUUGUCUAUUCCUCAUUUUUAUAGUUUCGUAUAUGCAUAAUUUGAUUUCCUUUCAACGAUAUUGUGCCUUAAGUUUUAUAUUUCUUAGUCUCGUUUUUACAUUUGAUUUUCACUCCUUUCGCUACCUUCUAUAAGCGUAAAGGUAGAAUUUUCAGGUUUCCCGAGGAAAAAAGAAGCUUAUUUGGAAAUACUUGUCAGGUAAGUUUCCUCCAUAUCCCCUAUUCUUUUCCAUUUCGCAUUGUUCUUUAUUCUUCUCUUUUAUGUUUGAUUGUUAUUUGUUGACCGCAUGUAUGUAGUAGAGAAUUAAUUUUCAAUCCUUUGAUUUCUUUGUUUGUUUUUAAAAGCUUGAUGUUGUGUUUUCUAUUGCUCAUAUCUUUAGUUUCGUAUUCGAAUAAUUUUUCUACUCUCAAGGACAUUGUGGUUUUAACAUUUGAUCUCUACUCCUUUCUCUACCUUGCUUUAAGCAUAAGGGUAGAAUUUUUCAGGUUUCCAAUGGUAAAGAGAAGUUUAUUGGGAAUUAGUUCUUGGAUAAGUUUCCUCCGUAUUCCCUAUUCUCUCAAAUUUUGCACUGUNNNNNNNNNNNNNNNNNNNNNNNNNNNNNNNNNNNNNNNNNNNNNNNNNNNNNNNNNNNNNNNNNNNNNNNNNNNNNNNNNNNNNNNNNNNNNNNNNNNNGUAUUUCCACACUAUACUUCUCAUUUCCUCUGGAAUCUGUAUAUUUCUACUUUCGCGCUUACCAGACUAAGUACGUGUGUCAUCGAAAAUUAAUUCUGAAUCCGUUAAUUUCUUUGUUUGUUUUUUAUCUCGAUCUUACGUUGUCUAUUCCUCAUUUCUUUAGUUUAUACCUGCAUAAUUUGAUUUUCUUUCAAUGAUAUUGCGCCUUGAGAGUUAAUUUUCUUAUUCUCAAUUUUACAUUUGAUCUCUACUCCUUUCGCUACAUUCUAUAAGCGUAAGGGUAGAAUUUUCAAGUUUCCCGAGGAAAAGAGAAGUUUGUUUGAAAAUACUUGUCAGGUAAGUUUUCUCCGCAUCCCCUAUUCUCCUCCAUUUUGCAUUGUUCUUCAUUCUUCUCUUUUAUAUUUGAGUGUUAUUUGUUCACUGCCUGUAUGUUGUACAGAAUGAAUUUUCAAUCCUUUGAUUUCAUUGCUUUUUUUUAGAGCUCUAUGUUGUGUUUUCUAUUAUUCAUUUCUUUAGUUUUGUAUCAAAAUAAUUUUAUUUACUCUCAAGGACAUUGUGGUUUUAACAUUUGAUCUCUUCUCAUUUCUCUAUCUUGCUUUAAGCGUAAGGGUAGAAUUUUCAGGUUUCCCGUGGUCAUGAGAAGUUUAUUUCGAGUUAGUUCUUCAGUAAGUUUCCUCUAUAUUCCCUAUUCUCUCAAAAAUUUUGCACUGUUUCUCCUAUUUAUCUUUUCGUGUUAUAUGUCUACUGUAUGUGUGUACUAGAAAAUUAAUUCUGAAUCCGUUAAUUUCUUUGUCUAUUUUUUUUCUUGAUGUUGCGUUUUCUAUUCCUCAUUUCUUUAGUUUCGUAUAUGCAUAAUUUGAUUUCCUUUCAAGGAUAUUGCGCAAUAGUUAAUUUUCUUAUUCUCGUUUUUACAUUUGAUCUCUACUCCUUUCGCUACAUUCUCUAAGCGUAAGGGUAGAAUUUAAAGGUUUCCCAAGGAAAAGAGAAGUGUUUUUGGAAAUACUUGUCAGGUAAGUUUUCUCCGUAUCCCUUAUUCCCCACCACUUCGCAUUGUUCUUCAUUCUUCUCUUUUAUGUUUGAGUGUUAUUUGUUCACUGCGUGUAUCUAGUAGAGAAUUAAUUUUCAAUCCUUUGAUUUCAAUUUUUUUUUUUUUAUACCUCUAUGUUGUGUUUUCUAUUACUCAUUUCUUUAGUUUCGUAUCAAAAUAAUUUUAGUUACUUUCAAGUACAUUGUGGUUUUAAAAUUUGAUCUCUACUCCUUUCUCUACCUUGCUUUAAGCGUAAGGGUAGAAUUUUCAGGUUUCCCCUGGUCAAGAGAAGUUUAUAAGGAAUUAGUUCUUCGAUAAGUUUCCUCCAUAUUCACUAUUCUCUCAAAUUUUGCUUUGUUCUUCUUAUUUCUCUUUUAUGUUUUCGUGUUAUAUGUCUACUGUAUGUGCGUACUAUAUAAUUAAUUUUAUAUCCGUUAAUUUCAUUGUUUGUUUUUUAUCUUGAUGUUGUGUUGUCUAUUCCUCAUUUCUUUAAUUUGGUAUCCAUAUAAUUUUAUUUCCUUUCUACAAUAUUGUGCCAUAAGAGUUAAUUUUCUUAAUCUCGAUUUUACAUUUGAUCUCUACUCCUUUCGCUACCUUCUAUAAGCGUAAGGGUAGAAUUUUCAGGUUGCUCGAGGAAAAGAGAAGUUUAUGGGAAAAUACUUGUCAGGUAAGUUUCCUCCGUAUCCCCUAUUCUCCUCCAUUUGGAAUUGUUGUUCAUUAUUCUCUUUUAUGUUUGAGUGUUAUUUGUUGACCACAUGUAUGUAGUAGAUAAUUAAUUUUCAAUCCUUUGAUUACUUUGGCUUUUUUUAAAAGCUUGAUCUUGUGUUUUCUAUUCCUCAUUUCUUUAGUUUCUUAUCAAAAUAAUUUUAUUUACUUUCAAGGACAUUGUGGUUUUAACAUUUGAUCUCUACCCCUUUCUCUACUUUGCUCUAAGCACAAUGGUAGAAUUUUCAAGUUUUCGGUGGUGAAGAGAAGUUUAUUGGGAAUUAGUUCUCGGAUAAGUUUUCCCCAAAUUCCCUACUCUCUCAAAUAUUGUAUUGUUCUUCAUUUUUAUCUUGUAUGUUUUCAUGUUAUAUUUCUACUAUAUGUAUGUACUAGAUAAUUAAUUUUAUAUCCGUUAAUUUCUUUGUUUGUUUUUUAUCUUGAUGUUGCAUUCUGUAUUCCCCAUUUCUUUAGUUUCGUAUCCAUAUAAUUUUAUUUCCUUUCUACAAUAUUGUGCCAUAAGAGUUAAUUUUCUUAAUCUCGUUUUUAUAUUUAAUCUCUACUCCUUUCGCUACCUUCUAUAAGCGUACGGGUAGAACUUUCAGGUUUCCCUUUGAAAAUAGAAGUUUAUUUGAAAAUACUUGUCAUGUAAGUUUCCUCUGUAUCCCAUAUUCUCCUCCAUUUGGCAUUGUUGUUCAUUCUUCUCUUUUAUGUUAAAGUGCUAUUUGUUGACCGCAUGUAUGUAGUAGAGAAUUAAUUUUCACUCUUUUGAUUUUUUUUUUUUUUUAAGAGCUUGAUCUUGUGUUUUCUAUUCCUCAUUUCUUUAGUUUCGUAUCAGAAUAAUUUGAUUUACUUUAAAGGACAUUAUGGUUUUCACAUUUGAUCUGUACACCUUUCUCUACCUUUCCCAAUAAACUUCCCUUGACCUCAGGAAACCUGAAAAUUCUACCCUUAUGCUUAAAUCAAGGUAGAGAAAGGAGAAGAGAUCAAAUGUUAAAACCACAAUGUCCUAAAGAGUAAAUAAAAUUAUUCGGAUAUGAAACUAAAGAUAUGAGCAAUAGAAAACACAACAUCAAGCUUUUAAAAACAAACAAAUAUAUCAAAGGAUUGAAAAUAAACUCUCUACUACAUACAUGCGGUAAAAAAAUAACACUCAAACAUAAAAAGAGAAGAAUAGAGAACAAUGCGAAAUGGUAAAGAAUAAGGGAUACGGAGGAAACUUACCUGACAAGUAUUUCCAAAUGAGCUUCUCUUUUCCUCGAGACACUUGAAAAUUUUACUCUUAUGCUUAUAGAAAGUAGCGAAAGGAGUAGAGAUCAAAUGUAAAAACGAGAAUAAGAAAAUUAACUCUCAAGACACAAUAUCGUUGACAUGAAAUUAAAUUAUGCUGUUACGAAACUAAAAAAAUGAGAAUAGACAACGCAACAUCAGAAUAAAAAACAAACAAAGGAAUUAACAAAUUCAAAAAUAAUUUUCUAGUACACACAUACAGUAGACGCAUAAGAUGAAAACAUAAAAGAUAAAAAUGAAAAACAGUGCAAAAUUUGAGAGAAUAGGGAAUAGGGAGGAAACUUAUCAAAGAACCAAUUCCCAAUAAACUUCUAUUCACCACGGGAAACCUUAAAAUUCUACCCUUACGCUUAAAGCAAUGUAGAGAAAGGAGUAGAUAUCAAAUGUUAAAACCACAAUGUCCUUGGGAGUAAAUCAAAUUAUUUUGAUACAAAACUAAAAAAAUGAGGAAUAGAAAACACAACAUCAAGCUUUUAAAAAAAAAAACAAAGAAAUCAAAGGAUUGAAAAUUAAUUCUCUACUACACACAAGCGGUCAACAAAUAACACUCAAACAUAAAAGAGAAUAAUGAAGAACAAUGCAAAAUGGAGGAGAAUAGGGAAUACGGAGGAAACUUACCUGACAAGUAUUUCCCUAUAAACUUCUCUUUACCUCGAGAAACUUGAAAAUUCUACCCUUAUAUUUAUAGAAGGUAGCGAAAAGUGUAGACAUCAAAUGUAAAAAUGAUAAUAAGAAAAUUAACUCUUAAGGCUCAAUAUGGUUGAAAGGAAAUCAAAUUCUACUGAUACAAAACUAAAGAAAUGAGGAAUAGACAAUGCAACAUCAAGAUAAAAAACAAACAAAGAAAUUAAUGGAUUCAAUGUUAAUUUUCUAGAACACACAUAUAGUAGACAUAUAACACAAAAACAUAAAAGAUAAAUAAGAAGAACAACCAAGAUUUGAGAGAAUAGGGAAUAUGGAGAAAACUUACCGAAUAACUAAUUCCCAAUAAACUUCUCUUGACUAGGGGAAACCUGAAAAUUCUACCCUUACGCCUAAAACAAGGUAGAGAAAGGAGUAGAGAUCAAAUUUUAAAACCACAAUGUACUUGAAAGUAAAUAAAAAUUUUUUGAUAAGAAACUAAAGAAAUAAGAAAUAGAAAACACAACAUAGAGCUAUAAAAAAAAAACAAUGAAAUCAAAGGAUGGAAAAUUCAUUAUCUACUAAAUACACGCAGUGAACAAAUAACACUCAAACAUAAAAGAGAAAAAUACAUAACAAUGCAAAAUGGUGGAGAAUAGGAAAUACGAAGAAAACUUACUCGACAAGUAUUUCCAAAUACUCUUUUCCUUGGGAAACCUAAAAAAUUCUACCCUUACGCUUAUAGAAUGUAGCGAAAAGAGUAGAGAUCAAAAGUAAAAAUGAGAAUAAGAAAAUUAAUUCUUAAGGUGCAAUAUAGUUGAAAGGAAAUCAAAUUAUGCAAAUACAAAACUAAAGAAAAGAGGAAUAGACAACGCAAGAUCAAAAUUAAAAACAACCAAAGAAAUUAACGGAUUCAAAUUAAUUUUCUAGUACACACAUAUAGUAGACAUAUAACAUGAAAACAUACAAAAUAAAUAUGAAAAACAGUGCAAAAUUUGAGAGAAUAAGGAAUACGGAGGAACCUUAUUCAAGAACUAAUUCCCAAUAAACUUUCCUUCACCACGGGAAACCUGAAAAUUCUACCCUUACGCUUAAAGCAAGGUACAGAAAGGAUUAGAGAUCAAAUGUUAAAAUCACAAUGUCCUUGAAAGUAAAUAAAAUUAUUUUGAUAAGAAACUAAAGAAAUGAGUAAUAGAAAACACAAUAUAGAGCUCUAAAAAAACACAAUGAAAUCAAAGGAUUGAAAAUUAAUUCUCUACUACAUACACGUAGUCAACAAAUAACACUCAAACAAAACAGAGAAGAAUGAAGAACAAUGCGAAAUGGGGGAGAAUAGGGGAUACGAAGAAAACUUACUCGACAAGUAUUUCCAAACAAACUACUCUUUUCCUCGGGAUACCUUAAAAUUCUACUUUCACGCUUACCUGACAAGUAUGGGUGUACUAGAAAAUUAAUUUUGAAUCCGUUAAUUUCUUUGUUUAUUUUUUAUCUUGAUCUUGCGUUGUCUAUUCCUCAUUUCAUUAGUUUUGUAUCUACAUAAUUUGAUUUUCUUUCAACGAUAUUGUGCCUUAAGAGUUAAUUUUCUUAUUCUCGUUUUUACAUUUGAUCUCUACUCCUUCCGCUACAUUCUAUAAGCGUAAAGGUAGAAUUUUCAGGUUUCCCGAGGAAAAGAGAAGUUUGUUUGGAAAUACUUGUCAGGUAAGUUUUCUUCGUAUCCCCUAUUCUCCUCCAUUUCGCAUUGUUCUUCAUUCUUCUCUUUUUUGUUUGAGUGUUAUUUGUUGACUUCGUGUAUGUAGUAGACAACGAAUUUUCAAUCCUUUGAUUUCAUUGUUUUUUUUUAUAACUCUAUGUUAUGUUUUCUAUUACUCAUUUAUUUAGUUUCUUAUCAAAAUAAUUUUAUUUACUUUCAAGGACAUUGUGGUUUUAACAUUUGAUCUCUAAUCCUUUCUGUACCUUGCUUUAAGCGUAAAGGUAGAAUUUUCAGGUUUCCCGUGGUGAAGGAAAAGUUUAUUGGGAAUUAGUUCUUGGAUAAGGUUCCUCCGUAUUCCCUAUUCUCUCAAAUUUUGCACUGUUCUUCAUAUUUAUCUUGUAUGUUUUCAUGUUAUAUGUCUAUUGUAUGUAUGUACUAUAAAAUUAAUUUUGAAUCUGAUAAUGUCUUUGUUUAUUUUUUAUUUUUAUGGUGCGUUGUCUAUUCCUCAUUUCUUUAGUUUCGUAUCAACAUAAUUUGAUUUCCUUUCAACGAUAUUGUGCAUUAAGAGUUAAUUUUCUUAUUCUCGUUUUUACAUUUGAUCUCUACUCGUUUCGCUACAUUCUAUAAGCAUAAGGGUAGAAUUUUCAGGUUUCCCGAGGAAAGGAGAAGUUUUCAAUCCUUUGAUUUUAUUAUUUUCUUUUAGAGCUAUAUGUUGUGUUUUUCUAUUACUCAUUUCUUUAGUUUCUUAUCAAAAUAAUUUUAUUUACCUUCAAGGACAUUGUGGUUUUAACAUUUGAUCUCUACUCCUUUCGCUACAUUCUAUAAGCGUAAGGGUAGAAUUUUCAAGUUUCCCGAGGAAAAGAGAAGUUUGUUUGGAAAUACUUGUCAGGUAAGUUUUCUCCGUAUCCCCUAUUCUCCUUCAUUUCGCAUUGUUCUUCAUUCUUCUCUUUUAUGUUUGAGUGUUAUUUGUUGAAUUCGUGUAUGUAGUAGAGAAUGGAUUUUCAAUCUUUUGAUUUCAUUGUUUUUUUUUAGAGCUCUAUGUUGUGUUUUCUAUUAUUCAUUUCUUUAGUUUCAUAUCAAAUUAAUUUUAUUUACUCUCAAGGAUAUUGAUGUUUUAACAUUUAUUCUCUACACAUUUCUCAACUUGCUUUAAGCGUAAGGGUAGAAUUUUCAGGUUUCCCGUAGUGAAGAGAAGUUUAUUGGGAAUUAGUUAUUGGAUAAGUUUCCUCCGUAUUCCCUAUUCUCUCAAAUUUUGCGUUGUUCUUCAUUUUUAUCUUGUCAGUUUCCUCCGUAUCCUCUAUUCUCCUCCAUCUGGCAUUGUUAUUCAUUCUUCUCUUUUAUGUUUGAGUGUUAUUUGUUGACCGCGUGUAUGUAGUAGAGAAAUAAUUUUCAAUUCUUUGAUUUCGUUUUUUUUUUUUUUAAAAGCUUGAUGUUGUGUUCUCUAUUGCUCAUUUCUUUAGUUUCGUAUCCGAAUAAUUUUAUUUACUUUCAAGGACACUGUGGUUUUAACAUUUGAUCUUUUCUCCUUUCUCUACCUUGCUUUAAGCAUAAGGGUAGAAUUUUCAGGUUUCGCGUGGUCAAGAGAAGUUUAUUGGGAAUUAAUUCUUCGAUAAGUUUCCUCCCUAUUCCUUAUUCUCUCAAAUUUUGCAUUGUUUUUCAUAUUUAUCUUUUAUGUUUUCGUGUUAUAUGUCUACUGUAUGUGUGUACUAGAAAAUUAAUUUAUGAAUCCGUUAAUUUCUUUGUUUGUUUUUUAUCUUGAUCUUGCGUUGUGUAUUCCUCAUUUCAUUAGUUUCGUAUCUACAUAAUUUAAUUUCCUUUAACCGAUAUUGUGCCUUAAGAGUUAAUUUUCUUAUUCUCGUUUUUACAUUUGUAAUCUACUCAUUUCGCUACCUUCUAUAAGCGUAAGGGUAGAAUUUUUAGGUUUCCCCAGGAAAAGAAAUGUUUGUUUGGAAAUACUUGUCAGGUAAGUUUUCUCUGUAUCCACUAUUCUCCUCCAUUUUGUAAUGUUCUUCAUUCUUCUCUUUUAUGUUUGAUUGUUAUUUGUUGAUUGCGUGUAUAUAGUAGAUAAUGAAUUUUCAAUCCUUUGAUUUCAUUGUUUUUUUUUUUAGAGCUCUAUGUUGUGGUUUUUAUUACUCAUUUCUUUAGUUUCUUAUCAAAAUAAUUUUAUUUACUUUCAAGGACAAUGUGGUUUUAACAUUUGAUUUCUACUCUUUUCUCUACCUUGUUUUAAGCGUAAGAGUAAAAUUUUUAGGUUUUCCGUGGUGAAGAUAAGUUUAUUGGGAAUUAGUUCUUGGAUAAGUUUCCUCCGUAUUCCCUAUUCUCUCAAAUUUUGCACGGUUCUUCAUAUUUAUCUUGUAUGUUUUCGUAUUAUAUGUCUACUGUAUGUGUGUGCUAGAAAAUUAAUUUUGAUUCUGUUAACUUCUUUGUUUGUUUUUUAUCUUAAUUUUGCGUUGCUUAUUCCUCAUUUCUUUAGUUUCAUAUCUGCAUAGUUUGAUUUUCUUUCAACCAAAGCCUUAAGAGUUAAUUUUCUUAUUCUUGUUUUUACAUUUGAUCUCUACCCCUUUUGCUUCCUUCUAUAAGCGUAAAGGUAGAAUUUUUAGGUUUCCCAAAGAAAAGAGAAGUUUAUUGGAAAAUACUUGUCAGAUAAGUUUCCUCGAUAUACACUAUUCUCCUUCAUUACGCAUUGUAAUUCAUUCUGCUCUUUUAUGUUUGAGUGUUAUUUGUUGACUACAUGUAUGUAGUAGAGAAUGAAUUUUCAAUCUUUUGAUUUCAUUGUUUUUUUUUAGCUUUAUGUUGAGUUUUCUAUUACUCAUUUCUUAAGUUUCUUAUCAAAAUAAUUUUAUUUACUCUUAAGAAAAUUGUGGUUUUAACAUUUGAUCUCUACUCCUUUCUCGACCUUCCUUUAAGCGUAACGGUAGAAUUUUCAGGUUUCCCGUGGUGAGGAGAAGCUUUUUGGGAAUUAGUUCUUGUAUAAGUUUCCUCUGUAUUCCCCUAUUCUCUCAAAUUUUGCAUUGUUCUUCAUAGUUAUCUUGUAUGUUUUCGUGUUAUAUGUCCACUGUAUAUGUGUACUAGAAAAUUAAUUUUGAAUCCGUUAAUUUCUUUGUUUGUUUUUUAUCUUGAUCUUGCGUUGUCUAUUCCUCAUUUCUUUAGUUUCGUAUCAGCAUAAUUUAAUUUCCUUUCAACGAUAUUGUGUCUUGAGAGUUAAUUUUCUUAUUCUCGUUUUUACAUUUGAUCUCUACGCCUUUCGUUACUUUCUAUAAGCGUAAGGGUAGAAUUUUCAAGUGUCCCGAGGAAAUGAGAAGUUUAUUUGGAAAUACUUGUCAGGUAAGUUUCCUCUGUAUCCCUUAUUCUCUUCCAUUUCGCAUUGUUCUUUAUUAUUCUCUUUUAUGUUUGAGUGUUAUUUUUUAAUCGCAUGUAUGUAGUAGAGAAUAAAUUUUCAAUCCUUUGAUUUCUUUGUUUUCUUUUUAAAAGCUUGUUGUUGUGUUUUCUUCCUCAUUUCUUUAGUUUCGUAUCAGAAUAAUUUGAUUUACUUUCAAGGACAUUGUGCUUUUCACAUUUGAUCUAUACACCUUUCUUUAAGCAUAAGGGUAGAAUUUUCAGGUUUCCCGAGGUCAAGAGAAGUUUAUUGAGAAUUAGUUCUUCGAUAAGUUUCCUCCAUAUUCCCUAUUCUCUCAAAUUAUGCAUUGUUCUUCAUAUUUAUCUUUUAUGUUUUCGUGUUAUAUGUCUAUUGUAUGUAUGUACUAGAAAAUUAAUUUUGAAUCCGUUAAUUUCUUUAUUUGUUUUUUAUCUCGAUGUUGCGUUGUCUAUUCCUCAUUUUUUUAGUUUCGUAUCAGCAUAAUUUAAUUUCAUUUCAACGAUAUUGUGUCUUGAGAGUUAAUUUUCUUAUUCUCGUUUUUACAUUUAAUCUCUACUCCUUUCGCUACUUUCUAUAAGUGUAAGGGUAGAAUUUUCAAGUGUCCCGAGGAAAAGAGAAGUUUAUUUGGAAAUACUUGUCAGGUAAGUUUCCUCCGUAUUCCCUAUUCUCUUCCAUUUCGCAUUGUUCUUUAUUAUUCUCUUUUAUGUUUGAGUGUUAUUUGUUGACCACAUAUAUGUAGUAGAGAAUUAAUAUUCAAUCCUUUGAUUUCUUUGUUUUUUUUUUUAAAAGCUUGAUGUUGUGUUUUCUAUUCCUCAUUUCUUUAGUUUCGUAUCAGAAUAAUUUUGAUUUACUUUCAAGGACAUUGUGGUUUUCACAUUUGAUUUGCACUCCUUUCUCUACCUUUCUUUANNNNNNNNNNNNNNNNNNNNNNNNNNNNNNNNNNNNNNNNNNNNNNNNNNNNNNNNNNNNNNNNNNNNNNNNNNNNNNNNNNNNNNNNNNNNNNNNNNNNUGCAAAAUUUAAGAGAAUAGGGAAUACGGAGGAAACUUAUCCAAGAACUAAUUCCCCGUAAACUUCUCUUUACCACGGGAAACCUGAAAAUUCUACCCUUAUGCUUAAAGAAAGGUAAAGAAGGUGUACAGAUCAAAUGUGAAAACCACAAUGUCCUUGAAAGUAAAUCAAAUUAUUCUGAUACGAAACUAAAGAAAUGAGGAAUAGAAAACACAACAUCAAGCUCAUAAAAAAAACAAAGAAAUCAAAGGAUUGAAAAUUAAUUCUCUACAUACAUGCGGUUAACAAAUAACACUCAAACAUAAAAGAGAAGAAUCAAGAACAAUGCGAAAUGGAAGAGAAUAGGGGAUACGGAGGAAACUUACCUGAAGAGUAUUUCCAAAUAAACUUCUCUUUUCCUCGGGACACUUGAAAAUUCUACCCUUACGCUUAUAAAAAGUAGUGAUAAGAGUAGAGAUCAAAUGUAAAAACGAGAAUAAGAAAAUUAACUCUCAAGACACAACAUCAUUGAAAUCAAAUUAAAUUAUAUUGAUACGAAACUAAAAAAAUGAGGAAUAGACAACACAACAUCGAGAUAAAAAACAAACAAAGAAAUUAACGGAUAUAAAAUUAAUUUUCCAAUACACACAUACAGUAGACAUAUAACACGAAAACAUAAAAGAUAAAUAUGAAUAACAAUGCAAAAUUUAAGAGAAUAUGAAAUAUGGAGGAAACUUAUCGAAGAACUAAUUCCCAAUAAACUUCUCUUGACCUCAGAAAACCUAAAAAUUCUACCCUUAUACUUAAAGCAAGGUAGAGAAAGGAGAAGAGAUCAAAUGUUAAAACCACAAUGUCCUUGAGAGUAAAUAAAAUUAUUCGGAUACGAAACUAAAGAAAUGAGUAAUAGAAAACACAACAUCAAGCUUUUAAAAAAAAACAAAGAAAUCAAAGGAUUGAAAAUUAAUUCUCUACUACAUACAUGCAGUCAACAAAUAAUACUCAAACAUAAAAGAGAAUAAUAAAGAACAAUGCAAAAUCGAAGAGAAUAGGGGAUACAGAGGAAACUUACCUGACAAGUAUUUCCAAAUAAACUUCUCUUUUCCUCGGGACACUUGAAAAUUCUACCUUUACGCUUAUAGAAAGUAUCAAAAGGAGUAGAGAUCAAAUGUUAAAACAAGAAUAAGAAAUUAACUCUCAAGGCACAAUAUCUUGAAAGGAAAUUAAAUUAUGCUGAUACGAAACUAAAGAAAUGAGGAAUAGACAACGCAACAUAAAGAUAAAAGACAAAAAAAGAAAUUAACGGUUUCAAAAUUAAUUUUCUAGUACACACAUACAGUUGACAUAUAACACGAAAACAUACAAGAUAAUUAUCAAGAACAAUGCAAAAUUUGAGAGAAUAGGGAAUACGGGGGAAACUUAUACAAGAACUAAUUCCCAAAAAGCUUCUCUUCACCACGGGAAACCUGAAAAUUCUACUGUUACGCUUAAAGGAAGGCCGAGAAAGGAGUAGAGAUCAAAUGUUAAAACCACAAUUUUCUUAAGAGUAAAUAAAAUUAUUUUGAUAAGAAACUUAAGAAAUGAGUAAUAGAAAACUCAACAUAGAGCUCUAAAAAAAAACAAUGAAAUCAAAGGAUUGAUAAUUCAUUCUCUACUACAUACAUGCAAUCAACAAAUAAUACUCAAAACACAAAAGAGAAGAAUGAAGAACAAUACGUAAUGAAGGAGAAUAGGGGAUACGGAGGAAACUUACCUGACAAGUAUUUCACAAUAAACUUCUCUUUUCUUUGGGAAACCUAAAAAUUCUACCCUUACGCUUAUAUAAGGUAGCGAAAGGAGUAGAGAUCAAAUGUAAAAACGAGAAUAAGAAAAUUAACUCUUAAGGCUCGUUGAAAGAAAAUCAAAUUAUGCAGAUACGAAACUAAAGAAAUGAGGAAUAGACAACGCAAGAUAAAGAUAAAAAACAAACGAAGAAAUUAACAGAAUCAAAAUUAAUUUUCUAGCACACACAUACAGUAGACAUAUACACGAAAACAUACAAGAUAAAUAUGAAGAACAUUACAAAAUUUGAGAGAAUAGGGAAUACGGAGGAAACUUAUCCAAGAACUAAUUCCCAAUAAACUUAUCUUCACCACGGAAAAGCUAAAAAUUUUACUCUUACGCUUAAAAUAAGGUAGAGAAAAGAGUAGAAAUCAAAUGUUAAAACCACCUUGUCCUUGAAAGUAAAUAAAAUUAUUUUGAUAAGAAACUAAAGAAAUGAGUAAUAAAAACCACAACAUAGAGCUCUAAAAAAAACAAUGGAAUCAAAGGAUUGAAAAUUCAUUCUCUACUACAUAUACACAGUUAACAAAUAACAAUCAAACAUAAAAGAGAAGAAUGAAGAACAAUGCAAAAUAGAGGAGAAUAGGGGAUACGGAAAAAACUUACCUGACAAGUAUUUCCAAACAAACUUCUCUUUUCCUCGGGAAACCUAAAAAUUCUAACCUUACGCUUAUAGAAGGUAGCGAAAGGAGUAGAUAACAAAUGUAAAAACGAGAAUAAGAAAAUUAACUCUUAUGGCACAAUACCGGUUAAAGGAAAUCAAAUUAUGCAGAUAUGAAACUAAAGAAAUGAGGAAUACACAACGCAAGAUCAAGAUAAAAAACAAACAAAGAAGUAAACGGAUUCAUAAAUUAAUUUUCUAGUACACACAUACAGUAGACAUAUAACACGAAAACAUAAAAGAUAAAUAUGAAAAACAGUACAAAAUUUGAGAGAAUAGGGAAUAGGGAGGAAACUUAUCGAAGAAUUAAUUUUCAAUAAACUUCUCUUGACCACGCGAAACCUGAAAAUUCUAUCCUUAUGCUUAAAGCAAAGUAGAGAAAGGAAAAGAUAUCAAAUGUUAAAACCACAGUGUCAUUGAAAGUAAAUAAAAUUAUUCGGAUACGAAACUAAAUAAAUGACCAAUAGAGAACACAACAUCAAGCUUUUAAAAACAAACAAAGAAAUUAAAGGAUUGAAAAUUAAUUCUCUACUACAUACAUGCAAUCAACAAAUAACACUCAAACAUAAAAGAAAAGAAUGAAGAACAAUGCAAAAUGGAGGAGAAUUGGGGAUACGGAGGAAACUUACCUGAUAAGUAUUUCCAAAUAAACUUCUCUUUUCCUUCACAAACCUGAAAAUUCUACCCUUACGCUUAAAGCAAGGUAGAGAAAAGAGUAGAGAAUAAAUGUUAAAACAUCAAUGUCCUUGAGAGUAAAUAAAAUUAAUUUGAUACGAAACUAAAGAAAUGAAUUAGAAAAUACAACAUAGAGCUCUAAAAAAAACAAUGAAAUCAAAGGAUUGAAAAUUCAUUCUCUACUACAUACAUGCAGUCAACAAAUAACACUCAAAACAUAAAAGAAAAGAAUGAAGAACAAUGCAAAAUGGAGGAGAAUUGGGGAUACGGAGGAAACUUACCUGAUAAGUAUUUCCAAAUAAAAUUCUCUUUUCCUUCGCAAACCUAAAAAUUCUACCCUUACGCUUAUAGAAUGUAGCGAAAGUAGUAAAGAUUAAAUGUAAAAACGAGCAUAAGAAAAUUAACUCUUAAGGCACAAUAUCGUUGAAAUGAAAUCAAAUUAUGUUGAUACGAAACUAAAGAAAUGGGGAAUAGCUAACGCAACAUCAAGAUAAAAACAAACAAACAAAUUAACGAAUUCAAAAUUAGUUUUCUAGUACACACAUACAGUAGACAUAUAACAGGAAUUUCGUGCACCACGCGUGCCACCGUUCGUGCACCAUGGCGUACCACCUUCUGUGCACCGCGGCGUGCCACCAUCCGUGCACCGCAGCGUGCCACCAUCCGUGCACCACAGCGUGCCACCGUUCGUGCACCGCACACGCAAGGACUCAUGCCACCACGCGUCCAAGGACGCGUGCCAUCGCGCAUGCUAAGACACCUUCCACCGUGCAUGCGGUGUUCAUGCAUCGCACGUGCCACAGUCUAUGCACUACACACGCAAGGACUCAUGCCACCCCGCAUGCAAAGACCAGUGCCACCAUACGUGGAAAGACACGUGCCACCGUCCGUGCACCGCACAUGCAAGGCGCAAGGACGAGUGCCAUCGCGCGUGUAAGGACGAGUGCCACCACGCGUGUAAGGACGAGUGCCGCACAUGCCACCAUUCGUGCACGCGUGCCACCGUCCAUGCACCGCAUACACAAGGCACAAGGACGCAUGCCACCGUGCAUGCAAAGACGAGUGCCAGCACGCGUGCAAGAACGUGUGCCAUCGCGUGCAUGCAAAGACGCGUGCACAGUUUCGUGCACCACGCGUGCCACCAUCCAUGCACCUGUGCAUGCCACCAUUCGUGCAUCACGCAGGCCAUCGUUCGUGCAUCGCGCAGGCCACACCGUCCAUGCGGUACAAGGCGCAAGGACACAUGUCACUGCGCAUGCAAGGACAAGUGCCACCACGCUUGGAAGGACAAGUGCCACCGCACAUGUCACCGUUCGUGCACCACGCAUGUCACUGUCCAUGCACCGUACACACAAGACGCAAGGACGCAUGCCAUUGUGCAUGCAAAAACGAGUGCCACCACAAGGGCACAUGCCACUGCGAGUGCAAGGACAAUUGCCAUCGUGGGUGCAAGGACAAUUGCCACCGUGGGUGCAAGGACGCGUGCCACCGUGCAUGCAAGGACGAGUGUCACCGCACAUGCAAGGACGUGUCACCGCACAUGCAAGGAUGAGUGCCACCGCGCAUGCAAGGACGAGUGCCACUGCGCAAGCAAGGACGAGUGACAGCGUGCAUUUAGACGAGUGCCACCAUGCAUGCCACCAUUUGUGCACCGCGCAUGCCAUCAUCCAGAUGGCACACGCAAGGCGCAAGGGCGCAAGGACGCAUGUCAUCGCGCAUGCAAAAACACCACACGUGCUACGCGUGUCACCGUCUAUGCACCGCCCGAGCUACCAUUUGUGUACCGUCCGUGCACCGUGCGUGCCAUAGUCUAUGCACCACGCAUGCCAUCAUCUGCCACUGUCCGAGGAACCGCGUGUGCCACCAUCCGUGCAUCGCACAUGCAAGGCACAAGGACGCAUGCCACUACGAGUUCAAGGAUGCGUGCCACCGCGCAUGCCACUGGACAUGCACCGUUCGUGCCAUGCCACCGCUACACACGCAAGGCGCAAGGACACAUGCCACGACAAAUGCAAAGACUAGUGUCACCACACGUGCAAGAACGCGUACAAGGACGCUUGCACACGUCCGUGCACCACGCGUGCCACCGUCCCUGCGGUGCAAGGCGCAAGAACGCAUGCCACGAACGGUGUCACCACGCGUGCAAGGAUGAGUGCCACCGCGCGUGCCAUCGUCCAUGCACGGCGCGUGCCACCAUCCGUGCACCGCGCGUGCCACCGUCCGUGCACCGCAAAUGCAAGGCACAAGGACGCAUGCCACUGCGAGUGCAAAGACGCAUGCCACUACGCGUGCAAGGACGAGUGCUACCACACGUGCAAGAACGUGUGCCACUGCGCGUGCAAGGACGCGUGCCACCACGCGUGCAAGAACGCGUGCCACCACGCGUGCAAGAACGCAUGCCACCACGCGUGCAAGAACGCGUGCCACCGUUCGUGCACCGCAAAUGCAAGGCGCAAGGACGCAUGCCACUACGAGUGCAAGGACGUGUGCCACUGCGCGUGCAAGGAUGCAUGCCACCACGCAUGCAAGGACGAGUGUCACCAUGCGUGCAAGAACGCGUGCCACCGUCCGUGCACCGCGCGUACCACCGUCUGUGCACUGCAAAUGCAAGGCGCAAGGACGCAUGCCACUACAAGUGCAAGGACGCAUGCCACUACGAGUGCAAGGACGCAUGCCACUACGAGUGCAAGGACACAUGCAACUGCGCGUGCAAGGACGAGUGCCACUACAAGUGCAAUGUUGUGUUUUCUAUUACUCAUUUCUUUACUUUCUUAUCAAAAUAAUUUUAUUUUCUUUGAAGUACAUUGUGGUUUUACAAUUUGAUUUCUACUCCUUUCUCUACCUUGCUUUAAGAGUAAGGGUAGAAUUUUCAGGUUUCCCGUUGUCAAGAGAAGUUUAUUGGGAAUUAAUUAUUCGAUAAGUUUCCUCUAUAUUCCCUAUUCCCUCAAAUUUUGCACGGUUCUUCAUAUUUAUCUUUUAUGUUUUCGUGUUAUAUGCCUACUGUAUGUGUGUAUUAGAAAAUUAAUUUUCAAUCCGUUAAUUUGUUUGCUUGUUUUUUUAUCUUGAUGUUGCGUUGUCUAUUCCUCAUUUCCUUAGUUUCGUAUAUGCAUAAUUUGAUUUCCUUUCAACGAUAUUGUGCCUUAAGUUUUAUAUUUCUUAGUCUCGUUUUUACAUUUGAUUUCUACUCCUUUCGCUACCUUCUCUAAGCGUAAGGCCAGAAUUUUCAGGUUCCCCGAGGAAAAGAGAAGCUUAUUUGGAAAUACUUGUCAGGUAAGUUUCCUCUGUAUCCCUUACUCUCUUUCAUUUCGCAUUGUUUUUUAUUCUUCUUUUUUAUGUUUGAGUGUUAUUUGUUGACCACAUGUAUGUAGUAGAUAAUUAAUUUUCAAUCCUUUGAUUUCUUUGUUUGUUUUUAAAAGCUUGAUGUUGAGUUUUUUAUUGCUCAUAUCUUUAGUUUCAUAUCCGAAUAAUUUUAUUUACUCUCAAAGACAUUGUGGUUUUAACAUUUGAUCUCUUCUCCUUUCUCUACCUUGCUUUAAGCAUAAGGGUGGAAUUUUCAGGCUUCCCGUGGUCAAGAGAAGUUUAUUGGGAAUUAGUUAUUCGAUAAGUUUCCUCCAUAUUCCCUAUUCUCUCAAAUUUUGCAUUGUUCUUCAUAUUAAUCUUUUAUGUUUUCGUGUUAUAUGCCUACUGUAUGUGUGUAUUAGAAAAUUAAUUUUCAAUUCGUUAAUUUGUUUGCUUGUUUUUUUUAUCUUCAUUUUGCGUUGUCUAUUCCUCAUUUCCUUAGCUUCGUAUAUGCAUAAUUUGAUUUCCUUUCAACGAUAUUGUGCCUUAAGUUUUAUAUUUCUUAGUCUCGUUUUUACAUUUGAUUUCUACUUCUUUCGCUACCUUCUAUAAGCAUAAGGGUAGAAUUUUCAGGUUUACCGAGGAAAAGAGAAGCUUAUUUGGAAAUACUUGUCAGGUGAGUUUCCUCCGUAUCCCUUAUUCUUUUCAAUUUCGCAUUGUUCUUUAUUCUUCUAUUUUAUGUUUGAGUGUUAUUAUUUGUUGACCGCAUGUAUGUAGUAGAGAAUUAAUUUUCAAUCUUUUGAUUCCUUUGUUUGUUUUUAAAAACUUGAUGUUGUGUUUUCUAUUCCUCAUAUCUUUAGUUUCGUAUCCGAAUAAUUUUAUUUACUCUCAAGGAAUUUGUGGUUUUAACAUUUGAUCUCUACUCCUUUCUCUACCUUGCUUUAAACAUAAGGGUAGAAUUUUCAUAUUUCUCGUGGUAAAGAGAAGUUUAUUAGGAAUUAGUUCUUGGAUAAGUUUCCUCUGUAUUCCCUAUUCUCUCAAAUUUUGCACUGUCUACUGUAUGAGUGUACGAGAAAAUUACUUUUGAACCCGUAAAAAAAACAAAGAAAUGUUAAAGAACUAAUUCCCAAUAAACAUCUCUUCACCACGGAAAACCUGAAAAUUCUACCUUUCCGCUUAAAGCAAGGUAGAGAAAGGAGUAGAUAUCAAAUGUUAAAACCACAAUGUCCUUGAAAGUAAAUCAAAUUAUUCUAAUACGAAACUAAAGAAAUGAAGAAUACAAAACACAACAUCAAGCUUUUUAAAAAAAACAAAGAAAUCAAAGGAUUGAAAAUUAAUUCUCUACUACACACAAGCGGUCAACAAAUAACACUCAAACAUAAAAGAGAAUAAUGAAGAACAAUGCGAAAUGGAAGAGAAUAGGUGAUACGGAGGAAACUUACCUGACAAGUAUUUCCAAAUAAGCUUCUCUUUUCCUCGGGAAACCUGAAAAUUCUACCCUUAUGCUUAUAUAAGGUAGCGAAAGGAGUAGAAAUCAAAUGUAAAAACGAGACUAAGAAAUAUAAAACUUAAGGCACAAUAUCGUUGAAAGGAAAUCAAAUUAUGCAUACACGAAACUAAGGAAAUGAGGAAUAGACAACGCAAAAUCAAGAUAAAAAAACAAACAAACAAAUUAACGAAUUGAAAAUUAAUUUUCUAAUACACACAUACAGUAGGCAUAUAACACGAAAACAUAAAAGAUAAAUAAGAAGAACAACGCAAAAUUUGAGAGAAUAGGGAAUAUGGAGAAAACUUAUCGAAGAACUAAUUCCCAAUAAACUUCUCUUGACAAGGGGAAACCUAAAAAUUCUACCCUUACGCUUAAAGCAAGGUAGAGAAAGGAGCAGAUAUCAAAUUUUAAAACCACAAUGUACUUGAAAGUAAAUAAAAUUUUUUUGAUAAGAAACUAAAGAAAUGAGAAAUAGAAAACACAACAUAGAGCUCUAAAAAAAAACAAAUGAAAUCAAAGGAUUGAAAAUUCAUUAUCUACUAGAUACACGUAGUGACCAAAUAACACUCAAACAUAAAAGAGAAGAAUAAAGAACAAUGCAAAAUGGUGGAGAAUAGGAGAUACGAAGAAAACUUACUCGACAAGUAUUUCCAAACAAACUACUUUUUUCCUCGAGAAACCUUAAAAUUCUACUUUCACGCUUACCUGACAAGUAUGUGUGUACUACAAAAUUAAUUUUGAAUUCGUUAAUUUCUUUAUUUGUUUUUUAUCUUGNNNNNNNNNNNNNNNNNNNNNNNNNNNNNNNNNNNNNNNNNNNNNNNNNNNNNNNNNNNNNNNNNNNNNNNNNNNNNNNNNNNNNNNNNNNNNNNNNNNNNNNNNNNNNNNNNNNNNNNNNNNNNNNNNNNNNNNNNNNNNNNNNNNNNNNNNNNNNNNNNNNNNNNNNNNNNNNNNNNNNNNNNNNNNNNNNNNNNNNNNNNNNNNNNNNNNNNNNNNNNNNNNNNNNNNNNNNNNNNNNNNNNNNNNNNNNNNNNNNNNNNNNNNNNNNNNNNNNNNNNNNNNNNNNNNNNNNNNNNNNNNNNNNNNNNNNNNNNNNNNNNNNNNNNNNNNNNNNNNNNNNNNNNNNNNNNNNNNNNNNNNNNNNNNNNNNNNNNNNNNNNNNNNNNNNNNNNNNNNNNNNNNNNNNNNNNNNNNNNNNNNNNNNNNNNNNNNNNNNNNNNNNNNNNNNNNNNNNNNNNNNNNNNNNNNNNNNNNNNNNNNNNNNNNNNNNNNNNNNNNNNNNNNNNNNNNNNNNNNNNNNNNNNNNNNNNNNNNNNNNNNNNNNNNNNNNNNNNNNNNNNNNNNNNNNNNNNNNNNNNNNNNNNNNNNNNNNNNNNNNNNNNNNNNNNNNNNNNNNNNNNNNNNNNNNNNNNNNNNNNNNNNNNNNNNNNNNNNNNNNNNNNNNNNNNNNNNNNNNNNNNNNNNNNNNNNNNNNNNNNNNNNNNNNNNNNNNNNNNNNNNNNNNNNNNNNNNNNNNNNNNNNNNNNNNNNNNNNNNNNNNNNNNNNNNNNNNNNNNNNNNNNNNNNNNNNNNNNNNNNNNNNNNNNNNNNNNNNNNNNNNNNNNNNNNNNNNNNNNNNNNNNNNNNNNNNNNNNNNNNNNNNNNNNNNNNNNNNNNNNNNNNNNNNNNNNNNNNNNNNNNNNNNNNNNNNNNNNNNNNNNNNNNNNNNNNNNNNNNNNNNNNNNNNNNNNNNNNNNNNNNNNNNNNNNNNNNNNNNNNNNNNNGAGUUAUUUUUCUUGGUCUCAUUUUUACAUUUGAUCUCUACUCCUUUCACUACAUUCUAUAAGCGUAAGGGUAGAAUUUUCAGGUUUCCCGAGGAAAAGAGAAGUUUGUUUGAAAAUACUUGUCAGGUAAGUUUUCUCCGUAUCCCCUAUUCUCCUCCAUUUCGCAUUGUUCUUCAUUAUUCUCUUUUAUAUUUGAGUGUUAUUUGUUCACUGCGUGUAUCUAGUAGAUAAUGAAUUUUCAAUCCUUUUAUUUCAUUGUUUUUUUUAGAGCUCUAUGUUGUGUUUUCUAUUUCUCAUUUCUUUAGUUUCUUAUCAAAAAAAUUUUAUUUACUUUCAAGUACAUUAUGGUUUUAAAAUUUGAUCUCUACUCCUUUCUCUACCUUGCUUUAAGCGUAAGGGUAGAAUUUUUAGGUUUCCCCUUGUCAAGAGAAGUUUAUUGGGAAUUAGUUCUUCGAUAAGUUUUCUCCAUAUUCCCUAUUCUCUGAAAUUUUGCGUUGUUCUUCUUAUUUAUCUUUUAUGUUUUCGUGUUAUAUGCCUACUGUAUGUGUG
rnacentral:lncRNA from 1 species